ACGGAACGUGAUAUCCGCGCAGCAGCCCAUGAUGAACCUACUCAGGUACCCGGCGUCCAAGGCUGAGGAGGUGGCUAUUUUUUGUAGCUGGGACCGCGGGACGGGAGGAGGCAGGUAGUGAUUUCAGGAAAAAAGUAGAGGCGGCACUCCACGGAUGUGUGUUGGAAAAAUUUGUAUUAGAGCAACAUGGCAACGCAGUGAAAACAGUGCUCAAAAAUGGGCUACAUCAUCUCACAAUGUUUCAAGGCUGAAUGCUUUUUCAUCAGGAACUGAUCUGCCAGCAAGUCCAUCGUCGUCUGAGACCAAAAAGCCACUGAGCUCCUUUGUGAUCAAUGUGUUAUCUAGUUUCUGGGGGAGGGAUUCACGAUGAGUCACCAGUUCCUUUGUAUAUGGUAAUCAGAUUCAGCCUUGAAGACAUCCAAAGGGCUGGCCUGAGUUUCCUGUCCACUACCUGUUUGGUCUAUGUAUUGUUCUAAUAAAAGUGAUUUUAGCUUUUA